GGCUGGAUAUGUUGCAGAAAUACAGCAGAAAUCUCAUCUGUUGCAUUUUUUCCACGAAAAGUAUAUCGCAGGAAAGUUGCAAUCCUUCUCAUCCAAGAAGUUUCUUCAGAACUUUGGAAAAAUCCCUUUUUGCCAAGCAGUGAUCUCUGAAAGCCUUUGAAGCAUAACUUCCUUAGCUGUUUGCUACUUCAGCUUCCUUUAUCGUGUGUUCCGGGCCGCACCGAAUUGCUUGCAGUUGUGCAGCCUUGGAAAGUGAAGGAAUGGGUCAGCCAAUCAAUCUAAAGAGUGAGAAAAUGAUUCCAUUCAGAAGUAUGACCUCUUGUGGUCAGAAGGAAUCCUUUGACACGAUUGAAGAGCGAUUUAAGAGAGAGGUGUUUGCUUAGCCUUUGUGAUCCAUGCUGAUUUCUAAAAAACAUCCAUGAAUAUCAAUCGAAGCAAAACAGAAGUUCCCAGGGAAGCGGCAGCUUCCAGUGCUCAGAAACCUCCUAAAGCAUCUUUGUUUGGCAUGAUCAAGAGCACCAAGUCCACAUCCCUAAGACGUUAAGAUCACACAUGGAUACAAAUCAAGGUCAGUUUAACUUGAGUGGUUUUUAUUUCAACACUUGCAAGAUCUUUGAAGACGCUACAGCCACACAAACCAAUGCAUAACCCCAGAGAGUAGACUCCUUUCUCCAGGGAGGAACUUUGGUGCAAUUUAUCUUCACUAAAUAAGCUGCUGUGGAAAGAAGGAUUCACGCUCACGGAUACACACACACACACGUACACACAAAGCUUUACACAAAGUGCAGUGUUUGGGAUUCUGUGGUUGAAGCAAAGAACCUAUUGACUAAAAGUGGCGAGGCCCUCUAAUCGAACAGCCUGGAAUGUAAUUUGGAU